AUUUUACAGAGGUGCACGGUGGGCUCCGGUAAAGCUCCAGAUACAGAGCCACGCCGGCAGCACCGGGGGGGAGAUGCGGCUCUGAGACGCGGACCGGCCAGCCCUCCUCGGUGCAGCGGGUGCAGCUUGGACGCAAGGGGCAAGCCUGCCGCCAGCCGGUCAAUAGACAAGGCAUUGGGAAACGGAACCAAACGUCCAGAAGAUUCCCGUAGAGAACUUACGUCUGUUUCUGAACAUUAUCUUUUACACCCUGGACAAGGCUCCGCAGGCUGGAAGAAGCGACAGCCUCCAGGUGAGCAUAGAAUGGGACAGAGUCAAAGACAGAGCCUGUCUCCCCCCCACCCCAGUACCCAGGAAAGGUUCAGAUCUCAGAGCCAUGAGCAUGAGGGAGGGCAGGUCGAAAGAACGACUGCAAACAAACUCAGGGACGCCCCAAAUAGUCUACACAAACAUGCACAUGCACAAAAAUGUGUGCACACACACUCCCAUGCAUGGGACACGUCCAUACAAGGACACGUGCAUACAUGUACGUACACUCACAAGCACAGAUACAAACUGUGACACAGACCCGAACACACACACAGACACGUCUGCAUAUUUGGUGCACACAACAGCCGGCAGCCAGGCAUUUAGAGAAAUAAGAGAGAAAGGAUAGCUAAUUAGAAAACUAAUCUGAUUAAUAGAGGUUCCAGAAAAAGAACGCUGAGAAAAUGAAUAGAUGGAAAAUAAAUAGUUUUUAAAUGUUUUUAAAGAAAUAUUUCUAGAGCUACAUUCAACUGUUUUCUCGUUUAAAAGACCGGUAAAGGACUUCUGAGAAAGAUGUCAGAGUAGGAGGACCCUAAGCUCACCUUGUCCCGUGGAUACAACUAGAUAAUACCCCCAUCGGUGUAACUAAUCCAGAAUAUGACCCGAAGACUGGUAGAACAGACCCUCUACAGCUAAAUUUAGAGAAGAGGCCACAUGGAAGAGGGUGGAAAGGGAAGAGACAUGGUCCAGAGCUAAAUGGACCCAUGAGACCGUCCCCGAGAGCGAGUGAUGCCGGAGGCCUGGAGGGAGGAAAGGAACAGACCUUCAAACUAGGCACCCCAGGUGUGAGGAACCUGCAUGGGGAAGACAAAUCCUGAAAACCAGAGACAUAAUUUUUUGAGUUCUUACAACCAGCGGGGCUUAAUAUGUGGAAUGUUAAAAAUCAGUGGGCUUGGCUCUGGGGUUGCUGGGAGGACGAGGGGAAACUGAGUCCCCACCCUUAAAGAGACAACACAACAGGGGCGCCUGGAUGGCUCAGUCGGCUGAGCGUCCGACUUCAGCUCAGGUCAUGAUCUUGCGGUCUGUGGGUUCGAGCCCCACGUUGGGCUCUGUGCCCACAGCUCGGAGCCCGGAGCCUGCUUCGGAGUCUGUGUCUCCCUCUCUCUCUGCCCCUGCCCCGCUCAUGCUCUG